UGGGGAAUAUUGGACAAUGGGGGCAACCCUGAUCCAGCCAUGCCGCGUGAGUGAUGAAGGCCUUCGGGUUGUAAAGCUCUUUUGGCGGGGACGAUGAUGACGGUACCCGCAGAAUAAGCCCCGGCUAACUUCGUGCCAGCAGCCGCGGUAAGACGAAGGGGGCUAGCGUUGUUCGGAAUUACUGGGCGUAAAGCGAGUGUAGGCGGUUGCCGUAGUCAGGUGUGAAAGCCUUGAGCUCAACUCAAGAAAUGCACUUGAUACUGGGUGACUAGAGGACCGGAGAGGAUAGUGGAAUUCCCAGUGUAGUGGUGAAAUACGUAGAGAUUGGGAAGAACACCAGUGGCGAAGGCGGCUAUCUGGACGGUUACUGACGCUAAGACUCGAAAGCGUGGGGAGCAAACAGGAUUAGAUACCCUGGUAGUCCACGCUGUAAACGAUGUCGAUUUUGGAGGUUGUGCCCUUGAGGCGUGGCUUCCGGAGCUAACGCGUUAAAUCGACCGCCUGGGGAG
rnacentral:rRNA from 1 species